UUGGAGGGCAAGUCUGGUGCCAGCAGCCGCGGUAAUUCCAGCUCCAAUAGCGUAUAUUAAAGUUGUUGCAGUUAAAAAGCUCGUAGUUGAAUUUCGGGAUUGACACAUCGGUCGUGCCUUAAGGGGUAUGAACUGGUGUAGUCAAUUUCUCACCUUCUGGAGAACCGCAAUGCCCUUAAUUGGGUGUCGCGGGGAACCAGGACCUUUACUUUGAAAAAAUUAGAGUGUUUAAAGCAGGCAUUUUGCUUGAUUACAUUAGCAUGGAAUAAUAAAAUAGGACGGCAUGAUUCUAUUUUGUUGGUUUCUAGGAUCACCGUAAUGAUUAAUAGGGAUAGUUGGGGGCAUUAGUAUUCAAUUGUCAGAGGUGAAAUUCUUGGAUUUAUUGAAGACUAACUACUGCGAAAGCAUUUGCCAAGGAUGUUUUCAUUAAUCAAGAACGAAAGUUAGGGGAUCGAAGACGAUCAGAUACCGUCGUAGUCUUAACCAUAAACUAUGCCGACUAGGAAUCAGACGAUGUUAAUUUUUUAAUGACUCGUUUGGCACCUUACGGGAAACCAAAGUGUUUGGGUUC
rnacentral:rRNA from 1 species